UACUCAGGAGCCUCUGGCCUUUGUUAGUCUUGUAUUAUUUUAAUUUUAGUUUCUUGUGUACAAUUUGGAAAUUAGUAUGGCGUUCAUUAUCACUGAACUAGUAUAUAUUUGUUUAGGGGCCAGUUGAAGGAUGCCUCCGGGUGCGGGAAUUUCUCGCUACAUUGAAGACCUGUUGGUGACCUUCUGCUGUUGUGUUUUUUUCUAUGGUCGGGUUGUUGUCUCUUUGGCACAUUCCCCAUUUCCAUUCUCAAUUUUAUUAAAAUACA
rnacentral:lncRNA from 1 species